CCUACGGGGGGCUGCAGUGAGGAAUAUUGGUCAAUGGACGAGAGUCUGAACCAGCCAAGUAGCGUGAAGGAUGACUGCCCUAUGGGUUGUAAACUUCUUUUAUAUGGGAAUAAAAUGUUCCACGUGUGGGAUUUUGUAUGUACCAUAUGAAUAAGGAUCGGCUAACUCCGUGCCAGCAGCCGCGGUAAUACGGAGGAUCCGAGCGUUAUCCGGAUUUAUUGGGUUUAAAGGGAGCGUAGGGGGAUUGUUAAGGCAGUUGUGAAAGUUUGCGGCUCAACCGUAAAAUUGCAGUUGAAACUGGCAGUCUUGAGUACAGUAGAGGUGGGCGGAAUUCGUGGUGUAGCGGUGAAAUGCUUAGAUAUCACGAAGAACUCCGAUUGCGAAGGCAGUUCACUGGACUGCAACUGACACUGAGGCUCGAAAGUGUGGGUAUCAAACAGGAUUAGAUACCCUUGUAGUC
rnacentral:rRNA from 1 species